rnacentral:lncRNA from 1 species
CUCUGAGCACAGAGACCUUUCUGUUCUAAUGCUGUACCUCUCACAGUCGCUGGGAAUAGUCGUCAUUCAGCACAACUUGUUUUGUGAAAAUCGAGGAGAAAGUGGUCCUGCGGUGCCCCAUGAGCUAUAUUAAGAGACUUACUAUAAGGAAUCCCUCACGUGCCUGAGGAGGCUGAGUCCCAGGAUCUGCCGUCAGCAUGCUGGAGACCUAGGAGAGCCGGUGGCGUAAGGGCCAGUCCCAGUAAGAAGGACUGAGAACCAGGAGGGCCGACGAUCCCAUGAUCUAUGACCAUGCUAACCUGCCUGGAACCCUAAACUCCCAGAACGUGGAAAUCUCCCAGAACUUGCCUUGAGAGUGAGCAACCUAGUGUAGUUUAAGAUUGCUUAUUUGAGGAGUGAUGUCGGUGACAUGAUGGAGUGAGCUCACCUGGGACUUUCUCCCCUCCAAAUUACAACCAAAAGG